CCAACAGGGAUUGCCCCAGUAACGGCGAGUGAAGCGGCAACAGCUCAAAUUUGAAAUCUGGCCCCCAGGGCCCGAGUUGUAAUUUGCAGAGGAUGCUUUUGGCGACGCGCCUUCCGAGUUCCCUGGAACGGGACGCCAUAGAGGGUGAGAGCCCCGUCUGGUUGGACGCCGAGCCUCUGUAAAGCUCCUUCGACGAGUCGAGUAGUUUGGGAAUGCUGCUCUAAAUGGGAGGUAUAUGUCUUCUAAAGCUAAAUACCGGCCAGAGACCGAUAGCGCACAAGUAGAGUGAUCGAAAGAUGAAAAGCACUUUGAAAAGAGGGUUAAAUAGUACGUGAAAUUGUUGAAAGGGAAGCGCUCACGACCAGACUUGAGCCCGGUGAAUCAUCCAGCGUUCUCGCUGGUGCACUUCGCCGGGCCCAGGCCAGCAUCGGUUCGCCGCGGGGGAGAAAGGCGUCGGGAACGUGGCUCCCUCGGGAGUGUUAUAGCCCGUCGCACAAUACCCUGGGGCGGACCGAGGUUCGCGCAUCUGCAAGGAUGCUGGCGUAAUGGUCGUCAGCGACCCGUCUUGAAACACGGACCAAGGAGUCGUCUUCGUAUGCGAGUGUUCGGGUGUAAAACCCCUACGCGUAAUGAAAGUGAACGCAGGUGAGAGCUUCGGCGCAUCAUCGACCGAUCCUGAUGUUCUCGGAUGGAUUUGAGUAAGAGCAUACGGGGCCGGACCCGAAAGAAGGUGAACUAUGCCUGUGUAGGGUGAAGCCAGAGGAAACUCUGGUGGAGGCUCGCAGCGGUUCUGACGUGCAAAUCGAUCGUCAAACAUGGGCAUGGGGGCG
rnacentral:rRNA from 1 species